rnacentral:rRNA from 1 species
UACGGAGGGUGCAAGCGUUAUCCGGAUUCACUGGGUUUAAAGGGAGCGUAGGUGGGCUGGUAAGUCAGUGGUGAAAUCUCCGGGCUUAACCCGGAAACUGCCGUUGAUACUAUCAGUCUUGAAUGUUGUGGAGGUAAGCGGAAUAUGUCAUGUAGCGGUGAAAUGCUUAGAUAUGACAUAGAACACCGAUAGCGAAGGCAGCUUGCUACACAAUGAUUGACACUGAGGCUCGAAAGCGUGGGGAUCAAACAGG